ensembl:lncRNA
CAAGCAGUGGUUUCACUGACUUGUGCCUGAUCUCUAAGAUUCAACAAACGGAGGAUACCAUCCCCACAAGAACAUCAGAUCCUUAUCACCAAGAUCCAAGAAUUAGAGGACGACAAAAUCCACCAUGAAAACAUUCUGCCUCGACUUAAAAAAAAAAAAAAAGAGCAUUUUUGGGAGAGACGGAUGGAAGACCCGGCAGACGGAGAUGGACAAAAUGAGGCGCAAGAUGCAGGACAAAGAGACAAAGAAAUAGGAGAGAGAAGAGAAGAAAAAGGAGACCAUCAAGGACGUCAACAUCAACGUGCCUGAGACUGUAGUAACCUCCCAUCUCUGUUUUUCUUUCUCAAAGAAAGCAGACCCCUGGAACUCUCUCCACGUCAUUUCCAUGUCCAUGGUCUUUGUAUAGUGAAAAGAUUUUAACCGGGCAGAAAAUGUACUUCCCUGUUACUCCAGGGAACCCAGUGUGAAUGUGACGACUGUUUGGGCCCUGCUUCAGUUCCAUCUUACAGAACAGACACUUGCGACCUGCGGACUGGCAAUCAGUUCUUUUCCUCUUCUGCGGUCCUUUCUCUGCCACCCUUUUCUGUGUGGCAUCCAGUUCUAGCUGAGAGAACUGUCUCAGUAAAGUCUACAAAAGGCAUUUUGGGGUUUGUCAGACCUUCAGCACCAUAAGUUUUAAAAACUUUAGCGGAGCAGUAGAAGUAUCGGACCGGGCCCUGCUGGUAGAAGAAGUGGAUUGAAGAACCAUCAUUUUCAUACCUAGACUUUGGCUGGCCACAGGAAAGACACCUUUUCGUGUGUCCCUUCUUUUGCCUCGGUGGUUGUUGUUGUUCCUGCUGCUUUUCCAUGAUGUCGAGUGCAAUCUUCUCAACAGAGGCUUGAGUCAGCAUCUGAACAGGUGGAGGUGGGUGAACAAUUGCAACACAUCGUAAAAACUGGCACACUAGUGGUCCCAGUCCAGAGGAACUGAGCAAAGGAACUGUACAGGGCGUGAUGCUCAGACACACACUCACGGAGGAACCGCCUCAUGCAGUGAAACAAGUCCAGCUUGAUAUUAACGUUUGCAUUAAAAUGUGAUCUUGAAGCACAUGUGUUUCGGGAGGUUACCAGAAGUGACAUCGGCA